GAUGAACGCUUGCGGCAGGCUUAAUACAUGCAAGUCGAACGGCAGCACGGGUAGCAAUACCUGGUGGCGAGUGGCGCACGGGUGCGUAACACGUAUGCAACUUACCCUUUACCGAGACAUAACCCAUCGAAAGGUGAGCUAAUAUCUCAUAAUAUUAUGAAUUGGCAUCAAUUUAUAAUUAAAGUUCCGGUGGUAAAGGAUAGGCAUGCGUCCCAUUAGCUAGUUGGUAGGGUAACGUCUUACCAAGGCGACGAUGGGCAGGGGUUCUGAGAGGAACAUCCCCCACACUGGUACUGGGACACGUACCAGACUCCUACGGGAGGCAGCAGUAAGGAAUAUUGGUCAAUGGGCGCAAGCCUGAACCAGCCAUGCCGCGUGAAGGAAGAAGGCCUUAUGGGUCGUAAACUUCUUUUAUAAGGGAAAAAACUGGGGUACGUGUACCUCAUUGCUUGUACCUUAUGAAUAAGCAUCGGCUAACUCCGUGCCAGCAGCCGCAGUAACAC
rnacentral:rRNA from 1 species